AGAGUUUGAUCCUGGCUCAGGACGAACGCUGGCGGCGUGCCUAAUACAUGCAAGUCGAACGAAGCUUUCUUUCACCGAAUGCUUGCAUUCACCGAAAGAAGCUUAGUGGCGAACGGGUGAGUAACACGUAGGCAACCUGCCCAAAAGAGGGGGAUAACACUUGGAAACAGGUGCUAAUACCGCAUAACCAUGAACACCGCAUGAUGUUCAUGUAAAAGACGGCUUUUGCUGUCACUUUUGGAUGGGCCUGCGGCGUAUUAACUUGUUGGUGGGGUAACGGCCUACCAAGGUGAUGAUACGUAGCCGAACUGAGAGGUUGAUCGGCCACAUUGGGACUGAGACACGGCCCAAACUCCUACGGGAGGCAGCAGUAGGGAAUCUUCCACAAUGGACGAAAGUCUGAUGGAGCAACGCCGCGUGAAUGAAGAAGGCCUUCGGGUCGUAAAAUUCUGUUGUCAGAGAAGAACGUGCGUGAGAGUAACUGUUCACGUAUUGACGGUAUCUGACCAGAAAGCCACGGCUAACUACGUGCCAGCAGCCGCGGUAAUACGUAGGUGGCGAGCGUUGUCCGGAUUUAUUGGGCGUAAAGGGAACGCAGGCGGUCUUUUAAGUCUGAUGUGAAAGCCUUCGGCUUAACCGAAGUAGUGCAUUGGAAACUGGAAGACUUGAGUGCAGAAGAGGAGAGUGGAACUCCAUGUGUAGCGGUGAAAUGCGUAGAUAUAUGGAAGAACACCAGUGGCGAAAGCGGCUCUCUGGUCUGUAACUGACGCUGAGGUUCGAAAGCGUGGGUAGCAAACAGGAUUAGAUACCCUGGUAGUCCACGCCGUAAACGAUGAGUGCUAAGUGUUGGAGGGUUUCCGCCCUUCAGUGCUGCAGCUAACGCAUUAAGCACUCCGCCUGGGGAGUACGGUCGCAAGACUGAAACUCA
rnacentral:rRNA from 1 species